ensembl:snRNA U6 U6 spliceosomal RNA
GUGCUCGCUUCGGCAGCACAUAUAUUAAAACUGGAACGAUACAGAGAAAAUUAGCAUGGCCCCUGUGCAAGGGUGACACACAAAUUUUUGAACUGUUCCAUGUUUUA